rnacentral:lncRNA from 1 species
CGACACGACAAAGCGGCGACGUUGAGUCGAUAUCAUUUCAAUAAUCGCCCCGCAGUCGACUUAAUCACGUCUUGAUUUUGACUUUGUUAAUGUUGAUAUAUUUUGCAGGUAUACUCCAGUUGGUAAAUGUGACAGAUUAUGCCACAUGAACCAAACUGGUCUUGGAGAGGUAGGAGAGAUGACUUGCCGGAUUCCAAGGACCAUAAUUCAACUCAAGAAAGCUCAGAUCAAUACCAUGAUUCAGAUUUGCAGUCAUCGGGUCCUCGCAGUGUACCUCACAAAAGGCAGUUUUCCCAGAAUGAUAGCUUCAGUUUCCGUGCAGACCUAGAUCGGGGUGAUUCUCAUUCCAAUCCUAGAAAAGACCCAAGAAAUAGAUCUCAGAUGAUAAGGUCUCCGCUGAAUCAACAGAACCCUACAAAAUUUAAUCUUCCUGGAAAUCAUAUUAAUUCCAGGCACAGUGGACGUAAGAAUAGAACCACUCAUGAUCAGUCUCAUUCACACUCAUCUGUUUCUUCAAAUAACCAUUCUGAGUAUCCUGAUUCACGAGUUGGUAAUUUUAAUGCAAAUGAAUCAAUGAUAAAACUCAAUAAAUCACGGUACAAUCAUGAAAGCAAGAACUUGCGUCAUAAUGCUUUUAGAGAUCCUUAUACGACAAGGCAUAAAUUCCCAAAAGACUCCUCUUCUUCCAAAGAGCAAGGGCGUGGUCCACAUGGAUGCUGUAUCCCAGGGGAAUUGCAAUCUGAUGAGGGUCCUUCCCAUUUUAAUUCAAAGGAAACUAGGCAUGCUUCUCAAUCAAGUGAGUCCAACUACUCCAGAGAAUCUGCAAGUAGCUCUAAAGUAGAUUCAUUUAAUCGUAAGCACAUCAGGAGCAAUUUGCACAGGGGUGGAAGUUGUGCAAGCAAGUGGAGGGACUUGAAGGGGAAUACAUCUAAAAGUAGUGAAUUCAGGUAUUAUCCUUAUUCUGAAGAGGCUUAUAAUAGUGAGUCUAGAUACAACUUUCGUGAGAAUCAACACAAUUCCAAUGGAUGGAGGCCUAAAAUUCAAGAUGAUGAAUUACACUAUAGAGAGUAUUUGAAUGAUAAUGCAUGUGACCAAUUAAAUUAUGGAAACCAAAGUGACAUUCAGCGCAACAAGUCCAAGUUUACAUCAGGCUCAUUCAGAUCCUCGAGAUUCAAUUCACAUACUGAUCUACUCAAUUGCAGCAAGUCAAGGCUUAAUUCUCGUGAAAACCAUUUCGACCUAGUCGAAUCAAAUUUGAACCCAAGGGCGGAAGCAUUUCAACCGAAGGAAUCAAGAUCCGAAACUCUAAUUGAAUCAUAUCCACCUAACAGUCCAGGUAAAGAAAAAAGUUUCCCACAGAAAUUUCAAACAAGGAAGGCUUUAAUCUGUGAUAAUCAGGAUGACAAAUCCCGAAGAUCCCGACUCACUGAGCAGCUGAAUCGCGGGACACUGGAGUGCCUCGUUUGUACAGACUAUGUUCUCCAAGCAGACAGAGUUUGGAACUGCAUUGCCUGUUAUAAUACCUUCCACCUAAAUGUAUCAUCAAGUGGUCAGACUCCUCUAAAAGCGGUAAGUUGAAAGUCAUUCCACAUCAUUUAACCCAGAACUAAUACUUUCUGCUAGGCGAUGGCAGAUACCUCUGUUUCCACCACAAUUCAACUUGUCAAGUAAUUUUGUCAUAAGUCAAAGCCUGAUAUUUUUAAUUUUGCCGGCCCAUUCUGAGUCCUGAAAGUUUGAUUUAAGGCCAAGUGGAAGUCAGUAGCUGGCCCAGGACUUAAAAUAUGUUCAUGUUUGAAAACUAGAAGAAAUACUUCAGUUUAAUGCAUAAAAAUAAAUUACUUAAUUCAAUUCAGCUGUCUUCCAGGACUGUUGCGGAGGAUUCUUGUUUUGUUUUUUUCCCCACAAAAUAUUCACAUUACACUUGUUGAUUCAUACGAGUUAAAAAAAUCCUUAAAAUAGGGAUUUCAGCCGUCUGGCAGUCCACUUACAUCUUUUUUUUUUUUUUAUUUAUUUAUUUAUGUAAUCAGAAUAACGAUGUACACAAAGAGAUUUUAGACCUGUGGGGUCUUUUAAAUCUUAAAUUUAACUUAUAAACUAAAUAUAAAUAAACAUCUGCUUUUACAUGGUUAAAAGGUAGCAAUAAAACAAGAAAUCAGAAAAAUCAGAAAAAUAGGAGUAUUAAGGCAAAGAAAGACUGCGAAAUGUGCUUAGUGGUAAACAGGCCAGGGAGCCCUAAGUGAAAACUGUAAAAAUGAAAUUACGAAAAGUACAAGAGAAAAUUAGUAAAAGGUAAGUACGGUAGAUUACUGAAGUUAAAUUAAAUUAGUAGAAAUGAUAAGAAAAGCAGAACUGGAAAGACGCCUGUUUCCAUGGAGGCCGAAUUUAUCGAAAUUCAGCUGAAACUCUACAAGGCCACCACGGAUAUUAGGGUGGUCAAGAAAUUGAAAAAAAAACUGGUUUUUGUGCUUCUGUUGGAUAGAUUUACAAAAAAAACAAAUAUUUUAAAAAAUCAGAGUAGGUCAAUAGUGCAGGCGCAAAUGUCAUCCCGUGGCACUAUUAGUGAUUGAAGUGUGGAAGAUGUCUUAAUCUCUUCGUAUUGAUGUCUAGAAGCAGAAUUCCGAUGUUGACAUUCUCAAUUUUCAAAAAGUCACCCCUA